GACGAACGCUGGCGGCGUGCUUAACACAUGCAAGUCGAGCGGAAAGGCCACUUCGGUGGUACUCGAGCGGCGAACGGGUGAGUAACACGUGAGUAAUCUGCCCCUGGCUUUGGGAUAGCCACCGGAAACGGUGAUUAAUACCGGAUACGACCACUUCUCGCAUGGGAUGGUGGUGGAAAGUUUUUUCGGCCAGGGAUGUGCUCGCGGCCUAUCAGCUUGAUGGUGAGGUAAUGGCUCACCAUGGCUUCGACGGGUAGCCGGCCUGAGAGGGUGACCGGUCACACUGGGACUGAGACACGGCCCAGACUCCUACGGGAGGCAGCAGUGGGGAAUAUUGGACAAUGGGCGGAAGCCUGAUCCAGCAACGCCGCGUGAGGGAUGACGGCCUUCGGGUUGUAAACCUCUUUCAGCAGGGACGAAGCGCAAGUGACGGUACCUGCAGAAGAAGCACCGGCCAACUACGUGCCAGCCGCCGCCGUAA
rnacentral:rRNA from 1 species